AAUGCGUAAUUUCAUCAUUCAUUGUUGUGUUUCUGCUAAUAGUCGGCACCAUCUUUCGGUGCACUUGAAGGAUUGAAAUUUCAGUCGAUAACUCGAUCUACGGGUAAGGUGCCUAGUCUAUUUAUCUUCAGUCAAAUUAUGUACCCUGUAAGGUAAACUAGGUAACUAAACACACUAAAAUCUACCCUUAACAGCUGGUUCAUAUCAUUUUUUUUAAAUUCAAUGACGCAGUUAAACAACCCUCCAACAGAUGGCGUUGUACUUGAUAGAGGCAGCCACCUCGUGGCUCGAGCAUAGGUACUACAUUGUUGUGGGCAGUAACGGCAUAACAUUUUGUCGCUAGGUGCGCGUGAUUGCAACUCGAUCGGCCUCCGAGACGUCCGGCGUGUUGUCUUCAAACCAGUCGCACGUGUUUUGCCGUUCAAUAAAAACUUGUAACGAUGUGAUGAGUCUCUAAAAAAUGUGUUGAUCUUUCCUUCGAGAAUUCGUAAUUUAACGAUCCUUUUUUGAGCUUGCGGAAUCUGUUGAAUUUCCUGAGUUUGGCUCGGAGCUUCCGUACGUGCUCGGUGAUAAAAUACGAAUGUCAAAUAUCCAUUUCUUCCCUGCAAUGUUUGAGAGAGAGACGUUAAAAGCAAAGAUUUAUUAACAAAUCGAUACGCUUGUUAAGUGUUACGCCAGUGUUAUUUACGUCGUAGGAUUGAAAUUGAUUUUUUCUAAAAAUCAAGUUUAAAUUAUCUUAUUGUUCAUUAAAGAAAACUACUGAAUUUCACAUGGUGAACCGUAAGAGUAACACUUGGAAAGUGUCUUUGACGUGUGACGUACAGAAUCGACUCUGUGUAAAUUAGGAAUAAAAUUCAGUCGGACGUACUUGAAUCAGCGUCGAAAGUACGAACACAGUGAUACGUUUGAAAAUGAGAUAGUCAGGUAUCAGAAAUCACAGUGUCCCCAUGUGUACACACACGAGAAAGUAUCUCGAGGGAAUUUGUGAAAAGUGUGUUUAAUGAAAAUCUGUAAAUCCAAAGUCUUUGAUAAUCUUUUGUCUGAACGUAUACGUCUCUCAUUAUGAAUUUUAGAGGUAAACAGUGCUAUGUAUUUUUCGAAUCCAUCAUCGUUGAACCAGCUUGAUUAAAAGUUGAUAUUAAUUUACGCUCUUAAGAGCCGUGUUUAUUAAAGCCAGUUCGACGGUUCGCGUCGACGCCGCAAUUAAUAGCCUUCGUAGCCGUGAGAAACGCGUAGCAUUAACCCCCUUCGCCCCUUCUACCUUGCAGCAGCAUUAUUUUCCCAGUAUAAAACAGUACCCGAGGGGAGCUUAAACAUUUUACUAAAAUUGCAUAUGACAUCCAGCAUCGGGUCUCUUACGUUGCCUCUCAUAUCCUGUUUAUCCUCGUACGGCGUCUCAACAUCAACACUCUUCAGGCUUCCAUUGGGAGUAGUCAACCGGUAAUAUUAAAGCCGAUAAAAGUAGAGCAGAUCGAAGUAAAGUCAACGCGUAACUAGACAACCCAGUUUCUGUUAUCCGUGUUUUACCCAAGCCCGAUAGUAACGGUACACGAACGCACGGACAGACACAACACAGAAGAUUCACCAACAAGCUAAGCCGACAAAGACGUUACUCUGGAAUCGGAUUGGGGAAUCACGGCGAUUAGGUGAUGCUUUUAAUAACUGAACCGUGUGUACACACCUUAAGCUGGGAUUGAUUAACGGGUGAAUGUGAAAGCUUUGCAAGAGGACUACUUUUCAUUGAUCCUUCCUAAAAGCAAACCCAGUCAUCGAAUCGGAGCGACAGAUUGGAAAGCACACGGAAAACUUUCCUAUAAAGUAUAUAUAUAGAUAUAUAUAUAUGCAUAAAUAUUUAAUGCUGUGUUGUGCGCUUCCGGUUUAACGCGAAGUUCAAUCGAUUCUCGAAUAAAGCUGUCGAAGGAAAUGCCGAGGGCGGUUGAACACUGACGUCGUUGUAUGCAAAACUUUUGUCAACCGUUCGAACAGACGAGAAAUUUGUCUGGCGCUUUAUCCCUGGACAAUGGGUACACACGCUUGUGUAAAGAUUUACAACUCGUAAAAGAACGUGCAAACACGUGCCGUGUGUGGCUUCCACUCUUGGAAGGAAAAAGAAGACCUAGGAAGGAAGCUAACUGCGUAAGGAUAUUCCGUGCGUGUUUUCACAAUAGUGUUUGGACAUCGGAUAAUAAGGAGUGUGGUGUUACUGGAGUGUAGAGUGCAGUGUAUAGUGGAUGUUUGAUCGGGGUGGUGGGAGUGAUGAUCCUUGGAGGAUAACGUAGGUUAUCACUGUAAUUGGGAAUUGGAGUUCUUUUACUUCUGGAAACAUCAAUAUGGAAAUUUUUUAUCGUUGAAACAGAACGAGGACACUGGAUGCCAUCAUAUCUCGUUCAAGCUAACUCCGCUGGGAAAUAAAAUUCAAAAAAAGGCCUACAUCAUAACUCAGGGCUAAUUUUAAGUUAGUUUAAUGCUCUUCGUUAAAAAAAGGAAAACGUGCGCUGGUUACUACUUCAUAUCGAACUAGCGCAGCCACAGGCAUUUUCUUUUUUCUUCUGAAGAGCAUCCAAUUUUUACAAUAGAACAUUAGGACAGUCUGAAAUAAGUGUUUGAUGACGAUUUACGCAUUUUUAAAAGAUUUUUUUACGGUGUCACUAGCUUGAAUAUGGUGAUUACCUUCAUCGAUAGACUGGCUCUAUGGAAUCUGACGAUGAUCUAUGGGAUCUGAUAAUUUAUAUGGAAAAGAGUGACCUAGAUUUCUUUAAAGAAACUCGUAUCGUUGGAUGUUCAUUUAUUCGUUCGAGACAGCUCAUACUUCUGGGAUUAUCAUAGUACCGCUGCUGUAUUCAUUCCCCAACCCGAAUUAUUCUCCGGACGCUGGAUGUAUUAUUCAUAACUGUUCCAACAGUUUAUGGGGGAGACAAUAUUUUUUGUAUGCUGGUACUAGAAGGACUUGCUGCACACGCGCUGGAUCAGAAUCUCGUGAACGAUUGAAAAAUGAUUUUUCGUAUACUUGUAUUACUAAAGUAAUCAGAUUUAUACGUGCGUUUAGUGCGCGAUAAAGGACAGCAAUGGUACGGCACUCUGAACGAAUAUAGUAUCACUGCAUAUCUACUUUUUUUUUUUUAGAUUUGACUUGAAUCCUGGAAUAGGACAAUCUCAAACUCGAUUUGAUUCUUCAAGCUGAGUACGUGGUCGCAUGGGACACGUUCACCCGUUCUGGACCGGAAUCUCUACGUGUUUACCAUGCUCAAGGCAAUUGCGAAAAGGCGUUUAGAAAAUUGCCCUCCGUAUACGUCGUAUGCUCGAGGGUUAAAUUGUUGCUGUUUGCGUUGACAGGCCUGUCAAACAUGACGUUUACGUUUUACGCAACGUGGAUAUUCGUAUAAGCGUACUAUGUAGUUUAACGUUGGAUCGCAUGUUAGAGACACAUUCAUUGAUCAGUCGGCAGACGUCGCCAACGCCAAGUCCCUUUAAGGAUGACGAGAAUUUAUGAUUCAAUUGCCAUUUAUAAGAGUCCGUGGCGAAUUCCGGAAUUACUCAACCUCCCAUGGUGGCUUGAAUUCAUAAGGGACUAUACAAAGUACCUUCGUACAUGCUUCAAAGGCUGGACAUUAUUAUUGGGCUGCUGCUGAAGGGAACCGAUAAAGGAAAAUUUGAUACGGGGAUCGAAUUAAACUAUAAAGUUAUUUAUUGAGCACGAAAAAAGUAAUGAUGUAUCGGGAAUUCAUAUGGGAUGAUAUAUUUAACGAUCAACCAUUUCUUGGAUUAUUUACCAAUUUAUAUCCGGUUGUGUGUACACAGGCAAUAUUUGUCUUACGGACGGGUUAUCGUUUCGUCAUGUAUUCUAGACUGCGAUAAAUAUUAACUUGGAUUUUUGCCUGUUUAAUCAUACUGACUUUUAUCGUUUGAAUCGUGUAUUACCGGUGAUUCGAUUGCGAAGGCUGGCAAACGCCACGUUUAUUCGAUGUCUUGAAAUUUAUUGAACGCGCUUUAAGGAAAUCCACGCUGUCACUUUACAUUCCCGUCCAUCUAGUCUGUCUCUCGCUUUGGCAUAAUGGGUAUAAAAUUAAAUGAGAUAGCUGGCUUAAUAUCGUGAUAAUUAUAUCUCGGGCUAAGAUCGAUGCCUAUAAGUCUGUCAUUAAUAUUUAUUAAGGUCGUUCCAUCAAUCCGUUAUGAAUUAUAGAUAAAUCCAGUAUGUUUUUUUAUUAUGUAAUUAUUAUAAUCGUCAUGGUGUUUGACGUUACAUUUUCGUAAUAGAAAGUCGUGCGUUUUGUUUUUUGUUACCGAGUAUUUUAUUAACUGCGGUAUCGCGAUGCUAAAAUACAUUAAUGGUAUUUAGUACCUGUAAUCAAACCGGGGUGUAUGUAUGUACACGUACUAAACCCGGUAAGUGCGUUUAUCUCUAAUGGCUAUUUUACAGCAGCUAGUAGUAGAGUCCCGUGCUUGUCAGACGAGUCAUUUAGUCACGGGAGGCUAGGAACGUUCAGUCGGAAUAGGACAAUGAAUCUUUUAUUGUAAAUUUGAAUUUCGCGCUUUAUUCUAUGAAAGUCUCAACGGUGUACAUACAUGUGGAUAUUGAGCGCAACGCUUUCAUGUAUUUUUUGUGCGACUCCAGACUUUCGAAGGAGGCAGAAAAAUAUCAGGCGUGGAGUUAAAAUCUUUUGUCAAAUUGAACGAGUAUUUAAUAGACUCACUGGUGGUUCGUAAUUUUUGUCAAUUUCAAAUAAAGGAGGGAGGUGUAAACUGUGCAAAAUAUUUUAAGUGGUUUGCCGAAUUUAGACUCGGCUGGUCUGAGCGGGGGCCUUCAAAUGUAAUUGAUAUUGAAAGCGACAGUUUGUAAAUUUACUUUGCUGCGUUAGAUUAGCCAGUGCGAAUUCUUCUUUAGCUUUGAAUCGAACGUUCAUGUGCUUUGGAACGUGCCGACAGUUGAUUGGAUUUGAUAAUCUUCGUCUGUCGAGAGCCUAGAGAGCUAAUUAGGUUUAUUUCGUUAAUUCUAAUCGUGAAUUCAAUAGGAAAUCAUGAAUUUCAUUCUGAGGUUGAUGUCUGAAUAUUGGAAAACUAGGUGUUCACGGACCACACCGAAAUUUGUAUAAGUUUUGAAAUCAAGCGAAAGCAGUGCGAAAAGUACUAUUCGAAGUAUGGGGUACGUAGAAGAAUGUGUAAAUAAGUUUUAUUUAAUGACAUUUUCAUUCGAAAUCUUGAGGCAGGAACGUUAUUCGCCAUUUGCAUGGUAAAAGAAUGAACUUUGAUGUUGCCAAUGUAACCAAUUCAAGAAAAGUCUUUUUAACACCCUGAAAUCUGGUGCACACAUGAAUAUAUGAAAAUUCACCUUAUCGUUACUACGGUCAAAUAUUUUAUCUCAGUCUUCAAUAUUUAAAUUUAACGUUCACGCGAGUCUUCGAGAGAAUACACUUUUCCUCGUUGUAUUUAGGUUGGCGUUCCUGCAACAGUUAUGGUGUUUCUGUCAUACUUAUUUCUAGUCGGCGACUUUUUUGGGCUACUUUCGACCAUUCUCUCUGACGAUAAUGAAUAGGCUGUCAAAUAUUCAUACAUGCUGCGUGCAUCGCGAAUAAAUUAUUUAUUCACUUGAUAUUAUACAAUGCUAGUAUACUUCCUUACCGACCGAGCCUAUAUCAGUGAGGCCUAAGUUAGAUUUCAUUAUACAUUAAAAUGUAUGAUGUCAAUUUUAUAUAGCGUUUCCCUCAAAUUAAUGCUAUCUUUUGAAUGCAUUGUACAUAUUGUCGACUCGCACGGUUUCCCAUUUAAGGUCGAUACACGAAGCACCGCAUGGAGGAGGUCGUUAAAGCUUCGGUUUUAUGCUAGUAAAGCACGCUAGAUAUACCUGGUAACGCAGUAAUAUUCGAGAUUUUACAAAAACAGGUUGUAAAAAUCACGAGUAAAAAGCUUUCUAAAGAUUGUGAAAACUUUCAGUACUAAUUACUUUUGAACAGGAUUUGAACUCACUCUCCGAAAGUUUAUUGUCCGACGUUUAUACUUAUCGUAUUUAUUUUCGUUCGGUCAGGCUAAGAUUUUCUGAAAAAUAAAGGAAUUUUCAACUUGCGACGGUUUCCUACUUCGGAGACAUCUGAUUGGUAAAGAAGAAACACGUGGAGUCUUCGUUAACUUAAAUUUAAUAUAAAUCAGAGGAAAUUGCGACGACUAGCGUGAUGAACUUACCGGAAGUGAACCUGCUGAUAAAAUAGUCUCCUUCGAGCGACUUCCGGACGUUCUCGUCGCGUUGACAACAAUAACUGCGUGUAUUCAGAUCGGUUAUUGGAAAUAUUCCACAGCGUGAUUUUCUUUUUUGCACGUAGAAAACUUUUUUCUGCAAGUUCACAAAUUUGAUCAAGGUAUUGAUUUUUGGUUAUCACUUUUUUUUUCUUCUGAGAGUUGCAAUAUUCUGAACUAAUACCUAUUACAUCCGAAACUUUCGUAGCUCUAUGUGCAAUCUCAAAAUAUUUUUCUUUUUGUAUUUUUCAAAACUUUUCUGAAGCAUUAACGAAUUUAUAACGCACUUAUAAGCUGUACAUCGAAGCACACAAGCCCCAGCUUAGAUGCAUUAGGAAACUGGUGCAAGAGCAUCAUCAUGAGAAGAUUGAUGAAAAUGGUUAAAGCUUCGUGUGCAGGUAUAAGCAGCAACCAAUUACCUUGCUCUUUACUUUAUAACAUCAGGGAUCAGGUGGCGUCCGUAUUAAUUUGAAGAGAGCACUGAGCUUUUAUCGCACGUUUCGUUGCCAUCCGGAAUUAUACCUAGAUACGUAACAUGAUAAAAGCACCGAUUCUUCCUCAGACUUUGAUAUUCCAACGAUAUCCAACUUUAGCCAAAGCAGAGGAGAAACUUUCCAAUUCAACGUCCUCCUUCGUGAGAGAGCACAGCAUCCUUCAAGUCGUGACGCUGAAGUCUUGUCCUUGGAUACUGAUCUAAUUAUAGCAUCAGGUGGUUCAAAACCUAGUUGGCCAUCAUCCAAUCGCCGUAGAGUCACUCUAGGAUCGACCAGCUUCUCUAUGCGCGUUGCACAAGACUCCCCAGAGGGUCAAUGCACACAGUUAGUUCACAUGGUCACACUUUGACCUGGUCACGGCAGAUAUACAGAAAGCGUGGAUAGAUUGCAUAUUGUGUAAACAAUUGUAAACUGCGAUCAAAGACUAUGCGGUCUGCGUGCUUCUCGUGGCUUAGGAAGAAUCGAUUAUCGACACUUAACUAUCAUCACGUCCAGUGCGUGUCAUGGAGGUCGUGCGAAGUUUUUGAUUGAUAUACCUGAAGCUACGUUGCUUUCAAUAAUUUAUGAUAAUCCCUGUUAAUUUCUGGCUGUCGUGGACGCUUGUAUUAUCCGAUGCAAAGCUUUAAAUACCAUAGAGCAAAAGAUUACCGGAUGAACACACAGGGGACCUGUUGAGGCAGAAUAUUAAAACUUUUGAUCCCUUUGGAUAUCGUCCAGACCAUAUUACACGUUUGAGUAUUCCAUGAUUAUCCAGAUGUCAGCUAUCUGCCUUCUGUUGGAACGAGAGACUUUGGUCUUUUUUUGAUGUACAGUAUUUUUCAUCAUCGCUAUGAAGUUAUAAAAUUGAGUCUUCCUUUGUUUCCCAUUUAGAUGAAUUUAUGGAUACGACUGAAUACGCCGGAUUUCAAAGAGAUAUCUCCCUAGACGUUUCACAUCCUACUGCAAAAGCUUAUUCAAAUAAUUCAUGAUGAUGGUAGGAAAGGGUUGGAUUUAAUUUUCGGAAUUACCACGCACUUUUCUCUGCUUCCACAUUUCUUUCUGUAUCCUGCUACUUUAAAGAGAAAGCCUGAAAGUCAUUAUCAUAUUGACAAGCACCUAUGGGUCGGCGUAUUCUUGGGCUCAUAUCCAUUUCGGUUGCCACGGGUUUCAUGAGAAUGCUAAAGAGACGGUAGAAGUAGGAGCAUCGAAACAAGAUGACUGUACUGAAUUACCGCGUAUUGUGGAAACUAAGGUGUGCCACUAGUUUUCAAGCACGUAAUCCGAAUUCUUUUUACAAAAAAAUAUAUGCGAGUUCUUGAAUGCAGCUAUCUCAUCAUGGAAGGAUUCUCUCACGAUAUCUUUAAGACGCUGGAACACAAUCUUGCAAGGAGAUAAAUUUCUAUUUAAUGUCUCAGAAACAUUCGUUAUUCCUUCAUCCGUCCUUUUUCUCAGUCGAGCUUACUAAUGAGUGCAUAUUUUUUAAAUUAGUUACUCCCUUGGUAUUACUACCAUCAUGGAGCUUUGUGCUAAUUGUGCUUUCAAAUAAAUUGAAAUGUAAAUACA